rnacentral:rRNA from 1 species
AUUGAACGCUGGCGGCAUGCUUUACACAUGCAAGUCGAGCGGCAGCGCGGGGGCAACCCUGGCGGCGAGCGGCGAACGGGUGAGUAACGCAUCGGAACGUAUCCUGUAGUGGGGAAUAACUCAUCGAAAGGUGAGCUAAUACCGCAUAAGCUCUGAGGAGGAAAGCGGGGGACCGAAAGGCCUCGCGCUGCAGGAGCGGCCGAUGUCCGAUUAGCUAGUUGGUGAGGUAAAGGCUCACCAAGGCGACGAUCGGUAGCUGGUCUGAGAGGAUGAUCAGCCACACUGGGACUGAGACACGGCCCAGACUCCUACGGGAGGCAGCAGUGGGGAAUUUUGGACAAUGGGGGAAACCCUGAUCCAGCCAUGCCGCGUGAGUGAAGAAGGCC